UACGGAGGAUCCAAGCGUUAUCCGGAUUUAUUGGGUUUAAAGGGUGCGUAGGUGGCUUAUUAAGUCAGGGGUGAAAGACGGUAGCUUAACUAUCGCAGUGCCCUUGAUACUGAUGAGCUUGAAUGAACUAGAGGUAGGCGGAAUGUGACAAGUAGCGGUGAAAUGCAUAGAUAUGUCACAGAACACCAAUUGCGAAGGCAGCUUACUAUGGUUUUAUUGACACUGAGGCACGAAAAGCGUGGGGGAUCAAACAGG
rnacentral:rRNA from 1 species